rnacentral:rRNA from 1 species
AGCGAACGCUGGCGGCGUGCUUAACACAUGCAAGUCGCGCGCGAAAGCGGCCCUCGGAUCGUGAGUAGAGCGGCGCACGGGUGCGUAAGACGCGGGUGACCUAUCCACGAGGUGGGGAUAACCUUUCGAAAGAGGGGCUAAUACCGGAUGAGCCCACAGGCAGAGAUGCCAGGGGGUAAAGGGUGCGGUUUACUAGGCGCAUCUCUUCGUGGCGGGGCCCACGGCCUAUCAGCUAGUUGGUGUGGUAACGGCACACCAAGGCGAAGACGGGUAGCUGGUCUGAGAGGAUGGCCAGCCACACGGGGACUGAGACACGGCCCCGACUCCUACGGGAGGCAGCAGUGGGAAUAUUGGGCAAUGGGCGCGAGCCUGACCCAGCGACGCCGCGU